rnacentral:misc_RNA from 1 species
UCUCUAGAUAGCUAUGUCACCUAUAUACUGGCUCCCAUAAGAUAAGCACACAUUCUUCUGAAGUUUGCACCAAGUUCAACCAACUGUACAAGAAAUUACUUCAAAAACACGGUGAAUUCUCAUAUUGUCAGUUGAUUAAAAGCAAGAUUUGCCUUUAAAUAAGAUCUUCAAAAUACAAUUCCUCAACUAGGCUUCAAAUUUUCCUGAUGGAAUCCAAGUAUUUUCCCAAAACC